AAAAAGUUUCAGUAAAGACAAGGUCUCACUAGGUUGCCCAGGGUGGUCUCAAUCUCUUGAGCUCAGGCAAUCCUCCCACCUCGAUCUUCCAAAGUGCUGGAAUUACAGGCGUGCACCACUGGACCCGGCCUAAUUUUAAUUUUUUUUGGUAGAGACAGGGUCUUGCUGUGUUGCCCAGGCUGGUCUUGAACUCCUGGCCUCAAGUGAUCCUCCUGCCUCAGGCUUCCAAAGUGCUGAGAUUACAGUGUAAACCACCAUGCCUGGCCAAGGCUGCAAUUUUAAAUGGAAGGCUCAGAGAAGGCUUUGCCAAAAAAGUGACAUUUGAUUAGAGACCUCAGGUGGUGAGGGAUUAAGCCAUGAGGUCUCUUGGAAAAGAGAAUUCCAGGCAGAGGCAACAACUACUGCAAAGGCCCUGAGGCCUGACUUAUUGAUCCACUCAAUUCUUUAAAUCGUUAAUACAUUUGCUAAUUUGUUUACUCAUUCAUUCACUCUCUCAUGCAUUCAUGCGUUCACCCAACCACUCUUUAAUAACUCUAAAUCUUAGGCCGGGCGCGGUGGCUUGCGCCUGUAAUCCCAGCACUUUGGGAGGCUGUGGCAGGUGGAUCACCUGAGGUCGGGAUUUCAAGACCAGCCUGACCAACUGGGAGAAACCCCGUCUCUACUAAAAAUACAAAAUCAGCCAUUGUGGCACAUGCCUGUAAUCCCAGCUACUCGGGAGGCUGAGGCAGGAGAAUAGCUUGAACCUGGGAGGCAGAGGUUGCGGUGAGCCAAGAUCGUGCCAUUGCACUCCAGUCUGGGCAACAAGAGCAAAACUCUAAAAAAAAAAAAAGAAAAAAAAACACUAAAUCUCUGAGAGGCCCUAAGUCAGGCAAUGCUGAGGAUCCAUAGGAUGAAUCCAGUCCAGCUCCUGCCCUCAGGGAGCACCCAGUCUGAUGUGGGAGACAGUCAGGAUCAACAAUAAUAUGGGCAAAGAAAACAGGAAAGCUGGCUGGGCACCAUGGCUCAUGCCUGUAAUCCAGCACUUUGGGAGGCCGAGGUGGGCAGAUCACUUGAGGCCACAAAUUCAAGACCAGCCUGGCCAACAUGGUGAAACCCUCUCUCUAUUAAAAAUACAAAAAUCAGCUGGGCAUGGUGGUGGGCACCUGUAAUCCCUGCUACUCAGGAAGCAGAGGCACAAGAAUCGCUUGAACCCAUGAGGCAGAGGUUGCAGUGAGCCGAGAUCAGCCAUUGCACUCCAGCCUGGGUGACAGAGUGAAGACUCUGUCUCAAAAAAAUGGAAAGAAAACAGGAAAGCGGAGCGCUGGGCAAACCUUGGUGAGACUUGUUUCCCAAGAGUGGAGGGAGCAAGCCUGCGGCAAGCAGGAAAUACGUGAAAACAGAAUAUAGAGACAACUUUAAGCAGCGUGGCUGGGUUGGGGAGGAAAGAAGUCACAGGUGACAUACAUGUGUUGUGUGUAUCAGGGAGGAUUUAAAUCACUGAUGCAGCUGAAGACUGAGCUGGACAAGGGCAGGGGCUGUGGAGGAAGGAACAGGAUCAUGAGUGAGCGAAUCAGAAAGAUGUCAGGAGGCUGAGUGGAGGAGCCACAGGGCUGACGUGCUGGAAGUAAGGGAGGCAUCCAGGGGAAUGGUCCGACUGCUGCUACACGGGCCUCCAGACUCCUCAGGAGAGAAAUGUUGGGCUGGAGACAGAGCUGUGGGUGUCAUCAGAAUCAAGACAAGAACCAAAGCCAAGAGAAAUGAGAGGUAGGGACUGGGGAGGGCACAGGGGAGUGGGAGAGGGAUGACAAGAGGGUCCAGGAAAAAGCACUGCACAGAUGCGGGGAGGACAUGCCUCUGAAGCUAAAAACUGGCUGUGCAAAAGAUAGCUACAUCGUAAUCCCUGGAGCCCAUUACUGUUAUCUUAAAAAAAAAGAGGCCGGUUGCAAUGGCUCACCCCUGUAAUCCCAGCACUUUGGGAGGCCAAGGUGAGAGAAUCACUUCAGGUCAGGAGCUCAAGACCAGCUUGGCCAACAUGGCGCUCUACCAAAAAUACAAAAAAUUAGCCAGGUGUGGUGGCGCACUCCUGUAGUCCCAGGUACUCAGGAGGCUGAGGUAGGAGAAUUGUUUGAACUCCGGAGGCAGAGGUUGCAGUGAACCGAGAUCACGUACUCCAGCCUGGUCAACAGAGCGAGACUCCGUCUUAAAAAAAAAGAAGGCAACGUCAAAAGGGGAAGCAGAGAUUGGAGUGAUGUAGCCACAUGCCAAGGAAUUCCAGAAACCACCACUGGCUGGAAGAGGCAAGAAAUGGGUUUUCUCCCAGAGCCUGUGGGGAAGCACGACCCUGCAGACACCUGGAUUUCAGUUCAGCAACACUGACUUCAGCCUUCUGGCCUUGAGAACUAUGAGAGAAUAAAGUUCUGUUGUUUGAAGCCAUGCAGUUUGUAGUACUUUGUUACAGCACCCCUGGGAAA
rnacentral:lncRNA from 10 species